rnacentral:rRNA from 1 species
UACAGAGGUCUCAAGCGUUGUUCGGAUUCAUUGGGCGUAAAGGGUGCGUAGGCGGCGCGUUAAGUCAGUGGUGAAAGCCUCCAGCUCAACUGGAGAACUGCCAUUGAUACUGGCGGGCUUGAGUACAGACGAGGUUGGCGGAAUUGAUUGUGUAGCGGUGAAAUGCAUAGAUACAAUCAAGAACACCGAUUGCGUAGGCAGCUAACUAGGCUGUAACUGACGCUGAGGCACGAAAGCGUGGGGAGCGAACAGG